CCAUGUCGUGGGGGAUAACGUAGCGAAAGCUACGCUAAUACCGCAUACGCCCUGAGGGGGAAAGCGGGGGAUUCUUCGGAACCUCGCGCGAUUGGAGCGGCCGAUGUCGGAUUAGCUAGUAGGUGAGGUAAAGGCUCACCUAGGCGACGAUCUGUAGCUGGUCUGAGAGGAUGAUCAGCCACACUGGGACUGAGACACGGCCCAGACUCCUACGGGAGGCAGCAGUGGGGAAUUUUGGACAAUGGGCGCAAGCCUGAUCCAGCCAUGCCGCGUGCAGGAUGAAGGCCUUCGGGUUGUAAACUGCUUUUGUACGGAACGAAAAGGUGCCUUCUAAUAAAGGGCGCUCAUGACGGUACCGUAAGAAUAAGCACCGGCUAACUACGUGCCAGCAGCCGCGGUAAUACGUAGGGUGCGAGCGUUAAUCGGAAUUACUGGGCGUAAAGCGUGCGCAGGCGGUUUUGUAAGACAGAGGUGAAAUCCCCGGGCUCAACCUGGGAACUGCCUUUGUGACUGCAAGGCUGGAGUGCGGCAGAGGGGGGUGGAAUUCCUGGUGUAGCAGUGAAAUGCGUAGAUAUCAGGAGGAACACGGAUGGCGAAGCCAGCCCCCGGGGGCCUGAAUUGACGCUAAUGCAAGAAAAGCGUGGGGACACAAACAGGAUGAGAUACCCCUGGUAGUCCACGCCCUAAACGAUGUCGACUAGUCGUUCGGAGCAGCAAUGCACUGAGUGACGCAGCUAACGCGUGAAGUCGACCGCCUGGGGAGUACGCCCGCAAGGUUAAAACUCAAAGGAAUUGACGGGGACCCGCACAAGCGGUGGAUGAUGUGGAUUAAUUCGAUGCAACGCGAAAAACCUUACCUACCCUUGACAUGUC
rnacentral:rRNA from 1 species